rnacentral:sRNA from 1 species
UAAUCUCGGCCAUCCUCACUGGCCUGCGC